GGGAGGGUGUCCAGAUAGGCAACAAGGCGUGACUUGUCAUUCUUGGUGAGAGCAGGUGGCUUCGUGUUGGACCAGUAGACGAAUCUACCUUGUGGAGUAGAUGUAAUCACCAAGCCCUAUUGUGGACCUAAUAAAGUGAGGACCGGAAAGGCGAUCAGAGGUGGGGUGAAUGGGAGCCAAUUCAAAUUUUCUCCAAGAACUUUGGUUAAAAACCCACACUCUCUUCUAGCAAAAUCAAGUCCACUUAGCUAUGCACGAGCUAAUGGAUCUAGGAAUGAUGCUAGGAAC
rnacentral:lncRNA from 1 species